rnacentral:rRNA from 1 species
CCUACUAAGUACAAGUCACCAGCUUGUGCUGAUUACGUCCCUGCCCUUUGUACACACCGCCCGUCGCUACUACCGAUUGAAUGGCUUACUGAGGCCCUCGGAUCGGCGUUCAGAGACUGGCAACAGUUUUUGUUUGUUGAGAAGUUGGUCAAACUUGGUCAUUUAGAGGAAGUAAAAGUCGUAACAAGGUUUCCGUAGGUGAACCUGCGGAAGGAUCAUUAAUGAUAUAGCGAACCUAUCGUUAGCAAGGUUUUGCGAUCAAUUUAUAUUUAAAACCCACACUUUUUAUAUUUUUAUACAUAUCUUAAAUGAUAAAAAAUGAUCACUUUCAACAACGGAUCUCUUGGCUCUCGCAUCGAUGAAGAACGUAGCGAAGUGCGAUAUGUAAUGUGAAUUGCAGAAUUCCGUGAAUCAUCGAAUCUUUGAACGCAUAUUGCACUCUCUGGUAUUCCGGAGAGUAUGCCUGUUUGAGGGUCAGUUAAAUAAAAAUCGGUGUUUUUGCCACCUUUUGUGGUGAUGCAUCGGAAUUGAGUCGUCUUUACCCUUUGGUUUAAGUGACUUAAAAUUUUGUAUGAUUUUUGAACGUAUUUAAAUUAUUUACGCACGUUUAUAAUAAUCGUYUAUUAGAYGUGGUCAUUCUUAUGAUAUUCACAUCUAUAAUUUUUCAUUAAAUGACCUCAAAUCAKGUAAGAAUACCCGCUGAACUUAAGCAUAUCAAUAAGCGGAGGAAAAGAAAAUAACAAUGAUUCCCCUAGUAACGGCGAGUGAAGAGGGACAAGCUCAWAUUUUAAAUCUGGCUAGGUUAUACCUAUCAKAAUUGUAGUUUGAAGAAGCGUUUUUUGCGUCUCGGUUGACCCAAAUCCUYUGGGAUAAGGUAUCAUGGAGGGCGAGAAUCCCGUCCGGUUGACCUUAUGAUGCUCUACGAUACRCUUUCAAAGAGUCGAGUUGUWUGGGAUWGCAGCUCAAAAUGSGAGGYAAWUUYCUCCUAAGGCKAAAUAUCGGCGAGAGACCGAUAGCKRACAAGUWCCCGUGAGGKAAMGAYGAAAAKAACUUUGAAWAGAGAGUKAAAUAGUACGUGAAAUUGUUGAAAGGGAAACGAUUGAAGCCAGUCGUACCGACGAGAAAUCAGCUCUUUUUGUGCGAACUUGUGGGCGUGCGUGAGCUUUACGGCCUCGCUGUUUGCUAUGUUUGUGCUCUUUGGGUGUACUUUUUCGUAUGGUAGGCCAAUGUCAGUUUCGAUUAUCAUAAAAUAAUUGGAGGAAUGUAGCUUCGACCUCGGUUGAAGUGUUAUAGCCUCUGGUAGAUGUGGUAAUUGGGACUGAGGAUUGCAACGAAUACCUUUUAGGCUAUCCGUCUGACCUCUGAAAGUCGCUUAGGUGCCGAAAGCUUGCUUACGGUUAUUUAAGUUGGCGGUCAAUAGGUUAGAACGUGAUUAUAUUCGUUGAGGAUGUUGGCGUAAUGGCUUUAAACGACCCGUCUUGAAACACGGACCAAGGA